UAAUUUCAAUGGAAACUUUAGUGUUUUAGACCUUGCCCACGUAGCUGAAUGCUCAUCUCUGGAUCUUAUUUCCAGUCCUCAGGAGGACCGGUUUUGAUGACCUAGUCUGAUUACAGCAUCUUUGACAGCUUUAAAGAAAUUUGCUCCGGGGAAGGAGACAGCUGCUGCUCUGAUGAAGGAUUUUUCUGAGCAGGCCUCCCAAGCUAGACAUGUCAGUAUGAGAUGCUGCCUACGUUUUUCAUCAUGACCAACAGGAGAGGCAUUCAGCAUCUGGUUCACCCAUCACUCUUCCACAGCAGGCUGCAGC
rnacentral:lncRNA from 1 species